UACGUAGGGUGCGAGCGUUGUCCGGAAUUAUUGGGCGUAAAGGGUGUGUAGGUGGUUGUAUUAGUCUUUCGUCAAAUCUCCGAGCUUAACUUGGAGUCUGCGAGGGAAACGGUACGACUAGAAAGUGCGAGAGGUGUACGGAACUCAUGGUGUAGGGGUGAAAUCCGUUGAUAUCAUGGGGAACACCAAAGGCGAAGGCAGUACACUGGCGCAUAUUUGACACUCAAACACGAAAGCGUGGGUAGCGAAUGGG
rnacentral:rRNA from 1 species